rnacentral:rRNA from 1 species
AUUGAACGCUGGCGGCAGGCCUAACACAUGCAAGUCGAACGAGUGGCGGACGGGUGAGUAAUGUCUGGGAAACUGCCUGAUGGAGGGGGAUAACUCCUGGAAACGGUAGCUAAUACCGCAUACCAUCGGAUGUGCCCAGAUGUGAUUAGCUAGUAGGUGGGGUAAAGGUUCACCUAGGGGACGAUCCCUAGCUGGUCUGAGAGGAUGACCAGCCACGCUGGAACUGAGACACGGUCCGGACUCCUACGGGAGGCAGCAGUGGGGAAUAUUGGGCAAUGGGGGCAAGCCUGAUGCAGCCAGGCCGCGUGGAGGAAGAAGGCCUUCGGGUUGUAAAGCACUUUAAGUUGGGAGGCGUUACCGACAGAAUAAGCACCGGCUAACUUCGUGCCAGCAGCCGCGGUAAUUC